rnacentral:rRNA from 1 species
CAGUCGUACCUACGGGUAAUCAGCCUUUCGGGAGCGAUUCUGUGGGUUUUUGAGGAGCUUCACGGCCCUCGGGUCUGCAUAUUCGUACCCCUUGGGUGUACUUUCCCGGUGGUAGGUUAACAUCAAUUUCGGUCGUCAUAAAAUGACGGGAGGAAUGUAGCUUCGGUCUCGUACUGAAGUGUUAUAGACUCUGGUAGAUGUGAUGACCGGGAUUGAGGAUUGCAACGGAUACCCUCUGGGCUACCCGCCUGAUCUCUGA